rnacentral:lncRNA from 1 species
GCCUCUUGGGGAGGAUGUGAAUGUAUUUGUGCAUUAACCCCGAAGUACAGGCGCACUCUUUCUGAUCCAGUAGAGAUGUAAUUAUUUAUACAAACUGACAUGACACAAUUAGGGACAAUGAAUCAAGCUCAAGAUACUCAGUGUCUCAGUGGCUGAGAUACUUCCCCAGCGGUGGGAAAGGUAUCCUCCAUUCCAAAAGAGUGUUCUAUGCAAGAGCCUCCCCUGGCUGCAAUGUAUCUUUGAAUAUGGCUUCAACCAACACCUCAGCUCUCAACAUUUUCAAAGUACUCGUGGAUAGAGCUCUGUGCUGUUAGAAGAAUAAAGGCUUUUACUACAGUGAAAGCAAUUGUAGCUGCUUUUACCUCCUCCCACUGGACAAUUCACUUCUUAGCAAUUUGUUUCUGUUUGUUUUAUUUCUCCAGACCAGAUCUCUGAUCCCGGCUCUUUAAGUCUGGCCAAACCAAGCAGCCCAGUUCCUUUGGCAAACGUCAUUUGUUGGUGCCUGCUACUGAUUACUUUUCCCAGGACAGUAUACGCAUGGUUCAAGGAGAUGAAGAAGCCUUUGGGGUGACCUGCUGUUGUGAAAGGAAGGAAACAAAAUGAUUUGGCUUUUCUUCUCCAAGCAGGACAUCACUCUGUGCACUGAUAAAGAGCGAGAAGAUCAGCCGGUCUUACAGCUGUGGGCGUUGUUGGAGCUGCAGACAAGCUGAGCAUAAGAUGCUGCAGGUGAGAUGGGACAGUGCUGGGCUCUGAGUAGGGGACGGAACGGAGGGAGGCUGUU